rnacentral:sRNA from 1 species
UUGCUUCCAGUAGUCUUGAUAGGUGCAU